GCGCCGGCUGUAUACCUAGUGUGGUCCUCAGAGUGCCUGAUGAAGGGCGAUUAUUACGCCUGAAACGUUGCAACUGACAAACCACCUAUUCCGGCUGAAAUAACAUGAAAUAAAAUCAUUUAAUUAUCAC